rnacentral:tRNA from 1 species
GCCUUCGUGGUGUAGUGGCCAUCACGCUCGAUGCAUAAUGGAGAGGUCGGUGGUUCGAUUCCCGACGAAGGCG